AAAAAGGAGCGCCAGUGCUCUGUGUGUGUGAUGGGGGACACCUAACCUCUGCAUUGAAAAAUGACUGUGAGGAGGGGCGUCUGAGAGCUGAUGUAUUUCUUAACUCCUGCUGUGAUCCGGUGGAUCUGUCUGCACGUUUCUGUGUUGUGGCAUCUCCACGUAGCAAGCACCAAAGGAGGACUUGGAAGGUACCUCAUCCCCAGGGGCUUUUCCAGAUAUAUCCUAUCAUGCUAGGUGUACUAAAGGUGCUGAUAGAUGCUAAGGAAAAUGUUAAAGUGUACUUCUUGGUAACAUAAGUUUGCCUUCCAGUAGCUCUUUGCACCUGCAGUUUUAUUAAAAUGGUACCAGUGUUCACCUCAACACCUCGGCUGGGAAAUCUACAGUAGAGUCACCAUCUCUGUGAGCAGUGAGAUGUGCAGAGCUGGAAAGUCAGCAGAGGAAGAGAGCUGCUUUUGCCUGGCAUCUCCAGUCCUCCUCCCUCCUUCACCUGGAAGCUGGGAGCGCCAAUGUCGCUCUUGCACCCGCCCUACCUAAUGAGCUUGCCUGCAGAAGCAUCACCAGGCCCUCGGCACUGCAGAAGACACGAAUGGAGUCUGUACUCUUCUCACUGCCAGCUUGUGUGGAACAGCUUUGCUCAGCUUCAUCAAGAUGGCUUUAGGAGCAACCCCAGCACAGUGCCUUUACAAAGAUGAGGUUUGCUGUGGUGUAGUAUAGAACACAGACCCAAAGUGGACUGAGCCUGCAAGGAAGCUGCAGCAGAUGAACUGCUCUCUUCAAGGUCCAAAGCACGAAGCAGCAGAGCUCACAGAUGACACUGCGGACACACUGCAGCAAGUAUUGGAUAGAGGCUUUAAUGAAAGCCAUGACUCCAGACUGACUGAUGACAAGAUAAUCAUUGCCAUGGUAUCUGGGCAAGUGUUUCUGGAAAACCAUUGACUGAGAAACAUGCUGAACACCCUUGAAAUGGCUGAGGUCAAACUCUACGUGCCUGGGGGAAGGAAGCAGUGGUGGGCCACUCUGAGGAAGCGAAUGCUCCACUGACAGCGGGGAUGACUCACACGUGAGAGCUGUGUCUUGAGCUGUCCUGAAAAUCUCCCUUUUAAGAAGGUGAUGGCUGAGCCAUCCUCUCCUGCUAUUCACUGUGGCCAACCAAUACCAUUCACUUCUGCAGACUUACCCUUACGCUGCGGAGUUGGGCAUCCAGUGUUCAAGAAAACAACUCAUAAAUGGAAAAUAGCACCAUUCUGACUGAAGAACAAGUCCUUGAUGUCAGACAUGCAUUCACUGCAGCCCUUACCAAAUAAAUGGAGAAAAUGGCUUACAGGCAACCAUCAGGUUACAGCUUUGGGGUGCUGUCAGCAUACAAGGUCACAGCUGUCAAAAACGCACCAGGAACACAGGUACUUUUCAAAACAACACAGUAUGUUAUCACCGGUCCUCACAGAGAGAAAAAAAAAUCAUUAUUGCAGAUUAGAAUGUUUUUAAAAGCCAAACUACAGAAACUUGAGGAAAUGUACCUUUUAUAGCAUUACGCCAAGUACAAAUUGUGCCAAAGUGAACAAAAGCUUGCUUUUAAACCUACAUCAAGAAGUGCCUUUCUCCUCUUCCUCUCUCUGGCUGGGCUGACAACGCUCACCUGUCUCCAGCAUCGAGGGGUUGGUUGGUUUGGUUGGUUGGUUUUGGGUUUUGUUUUUAAGCAAAGAACUUGGUAAGAAAAUCAAUAGAAUGAGGAAAGAACUUUUAAUAACCUAAGUGGAAUUCAAAACAUGAACUGGGCCUGAAGGCAUCUCCCCCUCAUCCCAAAGAUCGAGUCCAUUUCCUUUCCACCCUCACCCCUCAAAGACAGUAGAUAUGG
rnacentral:lncRNA from 7 species